UACGUAGGGAGCAAGCGUUGUCCGGAAUCAUUGGGCGUAAAGCGCGCGUAGGCGGCCCUGUAAGUCCGUUGUGAAAGUCAAAGGCUCAACCUUUGAAAGCCGAUGGAUACUGCAGGGCUAGAGUCCGGAAGAGGCGAGUGGAAUUCCUGGUGUAGCGGUGGAAUGCGCAGAGAUCGGGAGGAACACCCGUAGCGAAGGCGGCACUCUGGGCCGGUACUGACGCUGAGACGCGAAAGCGUGGGGAGCGAACAGG
rnacentral:rRNA from 1 species